UAGGGAAUCUUCGGCAAUGGACGGAAGUCUGACCGAGCAACGCCGCGUGAGUGAAGAAGGUUUUCGGAUCGUAAAGCUCUGUUGUAAGAGAAGAACGAGUGUGAGAGUGGAAAGUUCACACUGUGACGGUAUCUUACCAGAAAGGGACGGCUAACUACGUGCCAGCAGCCGCGGUAAUACGUAGGUCCCGAGCGUUGUCCGGAUUUAUUGGGCGUAAAGCGAGCGCAGGCGGUUAGAUAAGUCUGAAGUUAAAGGCUGUGGCUUAACCAUAGUACGCUUUGGAAACUGUUUAACUUGAGUGCAAGAGGGGAGAGUGGAAUUCCAUGUGUAGCGGUGAAAUGCGUAGAUAUAUGGAGGAACACCGGUGGCGAAAGCGGCUCUCUGGCUUGUAACUGACGCUGAGGCUCGAAAGCGUGGGGAGCAAACAGGAUUAGAUACCCUGGUAGUCCACGCCGUAACGAUGAGUGCUAGGUGUUAGACCCUUUCCGGGGUUUAGUGCCACAGCUAACGCAUUAAGCACUCCGCCUGGGGAGUACGACCGCAAGGUUG
rnacentral:rRNA from 1 species